rnacentral:rRNA from 1 species
AGUGAACGCUGGCGGUAGGCCUAACACAUGCAAGUCGAACGGCAGCACAGUAAGAGCUUGCUCUUACGGGUGGCGAGUGGCGGACGGGUGAGGAAUACAUCGGAAUCUACUUUUUCGUGGGGGAUAACGUAGGGAAACUUACGCUAAUACCGCAUACGACCUACGGGUGAAAGCAGGGGAUCUUCGGACCUUGCGCGAUUGAAUGAGCCGAUGUCGGAUUAGCUAGUUGGCGGGGUUAAGGCCCACCAAGGCGACGAUCCGUAGCUGGUCUGAGAGGAUGAUCAGCCACACUGGAACUGAGACACGGUCCAGACUCCUACGGGAGGCAGCAGUGGGGAAUAUUGGACAAUGGGCGCAAGCCUGAUCCAGCCAUACCGCGUGGGUGAAGAAGGCCUUCGGGUUGUAAAGCCCUUCUGUUGGGAAAGAAAAGCAGCAGGUUAAUACCCCGCUGUGCUGACGGUACCCAAAGAAUAAGCACCGGCUAACUUCGUG